UCUGUUGAGCGCUGAGGACGAUGAUGAACACGAUGAUGGUGAUGUUGAUGUUGUUGGGUUCGUGAUGAACGAUGUUGAACGAUUUUAGAUGAAUGAGUUGAGUUGGUUGAAGAUCUAUGAAGAUGAUGACGAAAGCUACGAAUCUGAAUCUCGGAUCCGACCCUUCCACGGGAUUAGGGUUUCAGGAGAUCUCGGUCGCAAGUUCUUUUCCAAUAUGUUUUGUUUUCUGCA